rnacentral:rRNA from 1 species
CGGGGGGAGCAAGCGUUGUUCGGAUUUACUGGGCGUAAAGGGCGCGUAGGCGGCCAGCACAAGUCAGUUGUGAAAUCUCCGGGCUUAACUCGGAACAGUCAACUGAUACUGUGCGGCUAGAGUGCAGAAGGGGCAACUGGAAUUCUCGGUGUAGCGGUGAAAUGCGUAGAUAUCGAGAGGAACACCUGCGGCGAAGGCGGGUUGCUGGGCUGACACUGACGCUGAUGCGCGAAAGCCAGGGGAGCGAACGGGAUUAGAUACCCCGGUAGUCCUGGCCUUAAACGAUGGAUGCUUGGUGUCUGGAGUUUUAUAGUCUCCGGGUGCCGUAGCUAACGCGUUAAGCAUCCCGCCUGGGGAGUACGGUCGCAAGACUG